rnacentral:rRNA from 4 species
CCUACGGGAGGCAGCAGUGGGGAAUAUUGGACAAUGGGCGCAAGCCUGAUCCAGCCAUGCCGCGUGGGUGAUGAAGGCCCUAGGGUUGUAAAGCCCUUUCGGCGGGGAAGAUAAUGACGGUACCCGCAGAAGAAGCCCCGGCUAACUUCGUGCCAGCAGCCGCGGUAAU